rnacentral:rRNA from 1 species
CCGUACUAAAACUGACACAGGUAGGCGAGGAGAAUAUCCUAAGGCGCUCGAGAAAACCGUCCUUAAGGAACUCGGCAAAUUGACCCCGUAAGUUUGCGAUAAGGGGUCCCUCCAGAUGCGCUCGGUAAUUCAUUAUUGGGCGUAUGCUGAGGGCGCAGUGAAGUGGCUCUGGCGACUGUUUAUCAAAAACACAGCUCUCUGCUAACACUUAAAGUGGAUGUAUAGAGAGUGACGCCUGCUCGGUGCCGGAAGGUUAAGGGGAUGGGUUAUUGUCUCUUCGGAGACGAGAAGCUCCUAACUGAAGCCCCGGUAAACGGCGGCCGUAACUAUGACGGUCCUAAGGUAGCGAAAUUCCUUGUCGGGUAAGUUCCGACGUGCAUGAAUGGCGUAACGACUGGAGCACUGUCUCGAGGACGGACUCGGUGAAAUUGUAUUUGUGGUGAAGAUACCACAUACCCGCGGCAAGACGGAAAGACCCCGUGAACCUUUACUAUAUCCUGGUAUUGAUGCCUGGCAUAUCUUGCGUAGGAUAGGUGGGAGGCUAUGAGGCCCCGAUUUCGGUCGGGGCGGAGCCAACCUUGAAAUACCACCCUUGCUAUGUUAGUCACCUAACCGCGACCCGUGAAUCCGGGCGUGGGACCGU